UACAGAGGGUGCAAGCGUUGUCCGGAAUCACUGGGCGUAAAGGGCGCGUAGGUGGCCUGAUAAGUAGGAGGUGAAAUCCUGGGGCUUAACCUCAGGGCUGCCUUCUAGACUGUCCGGCUCGAGCACAGUAGAGGCAGGUGGAAUUCCCGGUGUAGCGGUGGAAUGCGUAGAGAUCCGGAAGAACACCGGUGGCGAAGGCGGCCUGCUGGGCUAUGGCUGACACUGAGGCGCGACAGCGUGGGGAGCAAACAGG
rnacentral:rRNA from 1 species